rnacentral:rRNA from 1 species
CCUACGGGAGGCAGCAGUGGGGAAUAUUGCACAAUGGGGGAAACCCUGAUGCAGCGACGCCGCGUGAGUGAAGAAGUAUUUAGGUAUGUAAAGCUCUAUCAGCAGGGAAGAAAAUGACGGUACCUGAUUAAGAAGCCCCGGCUAACUACGUGCCAGCAGCCGCGGUAAUACGGAGGGGGCAAGCGUUAUCCGGAUUUACUGGGUGUAAAGGGGGCGUAGACGGCAGCACAAGUCUGGAGUGAAAUGCCGGGGCUUAACCCCGGAACUGCUGUGGCAACUGUGCAGCUAGAGUGCAGGAAGGGCAAGUGGAAUUCGUAGUGUAGCGGGGAAAUGCGUAGAUAUGAGGAGGAACCCCAGUGGCGAAGGCGGCUUACUGGACUGUAACUGACGUUGAGGCUCGAAAGCGUGGGUAGCAAACAGGAUUAGAUACCCGGGUAGUC